AUUGAACGCUGGCGGCAUGCCUUACACAUGCAAGUCGAACGGUAACAGGUCUUCGGAUGCUGACGAGUGGCGAACGGGCGAGUAAUACAUCGGAACGUGCCUAGUAGUGGGGGAUAACUACUCGAAAGAGUGGCUAAUACCGCAUGAGAUCUACGGAUGAAAGCAGGGGAUCGCAAGACCUUGUGCUACUAGAGCGGCCGAUGGCAGAUUAGGUAGUUGGUGGGAUAAAAGCUUACCAAGCCGACGAUCUGUAGCUGGUCUGAGAGGACGAUCAGCCACACUGGGACUGAGACACGGCCCAGACCCCUACGGGAGGCAGCAGUGGGGAAUUUUGGACAAUGGGCGAAAGCCUGAUCCAGCAAUGCCGCGUGCAGGAUGAAGGCCUUCGGGUUGUAAACUGCUUUUGUACGGAACGAAAAGCCCCGGGUUAAUACCCUGGGGUCAUGACGGUACCGUAAGAAUAAGCACCGGCUAACUACGUGCCAGCCGCCGCGGUAA
rnacentral:rRNA from 1 species